AUUGAACGCUGGCGGCAGGCCUAACACAUGCAAGUCGAGCGAGUGGCGGACGGGUGAGUAAUGUAUGGGGACUGCCCGAUAGAGGGGGAUAACUACUGGAAAGGGUGGCUAAUAACGCAUAAUAACGGAGAACCACUAUGGGAUUAGCUUGGAGGUGGGGUAAAGGCUACCCUAGGCGACGAACUCUCACUGGUCUGAGAGGAUGAUCAGCCACACUGGGACUGAGACACGGCCCAGACUCCUACGGAGGCAGCAGUGGGGAAUAUUGCACAAUGGGCGCAAGCCUGAUGCAGCCAUGCCGCGUGUAUGAAGAAGGCCUUAGGGUUGUAAAGUACUUUCAGCGGGGAGGCGUUACCCGCAGAAGAAGCACCGGCUAACUCCGUGCCAGCAGCCGCGGUAAUAC
rnacentral:rRNA from 1 species